rnacentral:rRNA from 1 species
UUGAACGCUGGCGGCAUGCCUUACACAUGCAAGUCGAACGGCAGCACGGGGGCAACCCUGGUGGCGAGUGGCGAACGGGUGAGUAAUGCAUCGGAACGUGCCCAGUAGUGGGGGAUAACCAGUCGAAAGACUGGCUAAUACCACAUACGACCUAAGGGUGAAAGCGGGGGAUCGCAAGACCUCGCGCUAUUGGAGCGGCCGAUGUCUGAUUAGCUAGUUGGCGGGGUAAGAGCCCACCAAGGCGACGAUCAGUAGCUGGUCUGAGAGGACGACCAGCCACACUGGGACUGAGACACGGCCGAGACUCCUACGGGAGGCAGCAGUGGGGAAUUUUGGACAAUGGGCGCAAGCCUGAUCCAGCCAUGCCGCGUGCGGGAAGAAGGCCUUCGGGUUGUAAACCGCUUUUGGCAGGAACGAAACGGCGCGAGCGAAUACCUCGCGUUAAUGACGGUACCUGCAGAAUAAGCACCGGCUAACUACGU